UUUUUGGAAUCUGGGGAUGAAAGGAAGCAACUUAAGGAGCCAAGAAAGACAUCUUGCUUGUUUGGUCAUUGGUGACCAAGAAAGUGAAGGAAAGAUUGAGAAACAAAAAAGAAAGAAGAUAAAAGUGGAAAUAUUUUAUGAAAUGGGAAGAAAAAUCUGUGAUUUGUGAUGCACAUUGCCAAGAAAGUGCUGUGAUACCACUUGAUGGAGUCUUGAAUACUUAUUCAACCUGAAUCUGUUUGGGUACCCUAUCCCAUUGUACCUUUUUAUAGCUUUUACUACACACCAGAGAUUAUUCAUAGCUUCAUACAUAGUUGCAUACUACAAGUUCUGUAUCUUCAUCACACAAUAAAGAUCAAUAGCUUCCAAUAAACCAACAUACCGGGGCAUGAGUGUUUAAG
rnacentral:misc_RNA from 1 species